rnacentral:tRNA from 1 species
GUGGGUAUAGCUCAAUGGUAGAGCACAUGCUUAGCAUGCAUGAAGUCCUAGGUUCAAUCCCCAGGACCUCCA